GGGCCGCCCCGCCGCCGAGUGGGAGCCGCCGCCGCGCCCCGGGCCUCGCUCGCUUCCACUUCCUGUAUCGGGGCGAGCGGGGCUUUCAGGAAGAGGCUGGCCUUGGUGGUCAAGGGCUGUCUGCGGACGCGGCGGCCGAGCCCCAGCCCAGCCCGAGCCGGGCACACGGAAGCCCGCGAGCCUGCAGGCGGGGCGGGGAGGGGGGGGCGCCGGAGGCUCCCGCAGCCAGGUGCCCAGAGGGAAACUCAGGGAAAGUCUCCCACCCUCCUAGGGGGAAGAGCCCGAGGGCGGGAAGGCGCCGAGGGCUGCACCCACUGGCGGGUGGGGAAGCGAGAGCCACGAGCCUCAGCCUCGCCUCCUGCCUCAAGGAGCCCAGCACUCAGCCAGGGGCAGCCCCAGACCAGAGGCAGGCGGCCGCCUCCACAUCCCUGACAGGUGGCCUUGCAUGCCUCCGCUAACAAGGAACUCACUACUUUACAAGGUAGUCCGAGGGAGGCGUGCAAUGCACCCAGGUGGGGUCAGGGCCAGGGAGCCCUCGAGAUCAUGCAAAUACAGCAGCCAGGCCACUCCUGUGGGACCAGGAGGCCUGUCUUCUAAGUGCCUGGCCCUCAAAAUGCCUCCUGAGCCUGCUGCCCUCACAGCCUUUCACAGCGACUGGACAGGACCAGUCUCCAUCUCCACAGGUCCCCCCAAGUAUCACACUGGGCUCCUCAGCCCCGGCAUGCCGACAUUUGGGGCCAGAGGAGAAAACAGAACCAUAAAGGAGAGAAGGAGCCUCGCCCGAGGCCACACACGGGCUGAGCACAGACAGAACCAGGCCCGAGUCCACGCAUCCAGACCCUGCCCUCCAUGCCUCGGCCCUGCUCCCCACACGCCUGCCUUGGCCCAGUCCACCUGGUGGAGGUGAGAGAGGAGAGGAUCCCUGUGCAUCAAGGCAGCACAGCCUGGAGGAGGGACUAGAAGACCGUGCAGCCGCUUCAGGAGACCACCUGGCCACUCCUCAGAAGGUGAAGCAUGGAGUUAGUGCGUGACACAGUAGGCCCCCUCUCAGGGAUGCACUGCCUGGAAACACACACACAUGUUCACACAUGCUCAUGCCUGAGUGUCCGUAGCAGUACUGCUUACGUUGAUGAAAAGGUGGGAACAGUCCCAGUGUCCACCAGCCCAUGAGCGGAUCAACACAACACGGGCACUCCGUGCAACAGUAGGUGACUGGGCCAUGAACAGGAAUGUGGCGCUGACACAGGCUUCAGCCUGGAGGCACCUGGCAAAGACACUCCAAGGAAGAAGCAGGAGGACUGAGUAAGGAAAGGGUUAAUGAAGGUGGAGGCGGGGAGAGAGGGAAGCCCCAGACCCCCUGAGGACCCUGCCCACAGGACCCCAACUGGGGGCAAGUGCUGAGGCGGACAAAACCAAGAAAACCGCAGACAAGAGAGCAAAGUGGACAGCCUGGCCCUGGGUGUCGGGGAGCAUAUCUCGGGGGCCGCUACACUGUAGUCACAAAGCGACGAGACCGCAGAGGAGUGAGCCAGCAAGGGUGUUAUCAGCAGUCCUCGCUCAACCCGACGUGGCGCAGGCGUCUCAGGGCCACAGGCCUCCUGGUCAGCUCGCAGUGGGAGGUGGCCAGCAAGCCCCCUCACCCCCACCCCACCUGGGCAAUCCCCGGGGACCCCCCUCCCUCUAGAGAGCUCUCUCCUCUCCUUUUGGCUCUCACCCUCGCCUAAUAAACUUUCACUUCAUUUCA